GGCCGGCGCACACUAGAGCUAUGUGCUUAGCAAAAUGUCAUUCGUGACUGUUGGCGUAAGGAGAUAGCUCUCGUGUGCGGGCGAUUUACGAACGACUUUUGUCAUUCGUGCCACUUACGCCAAAUAUCUAACAUGUUUGAUAAUUUCUGCCUAGCGUGCCAAAAUCUUUCCGUGUGCGGCGAACGAAAGCUAUCUGCUUACGGAUUGUCGUAACAGCGCAUGCGUAGUAUACGAAAGUAAACAUCCAAGAUGGCGGCGCAAAAUAAAUUGCUGGCUGAGGCAAUUUUAGAAGACAAACUUGUCGUGAUAAUGCUGUUCCAACAACUUGUCUACAAGCUUGCUACAAGCCUGUUGAGAACAUAUCUUGUUGACAAGUUGUUGGAACAGCAUUGUCAC